rnacentral:rRNA from 1 species
GAUGAACGCUGGCGGUGUGCCUAAUACAUGCAAGUCGAGCGAACAGACGAGGAGCUUACUCCUCUGACGUUAGCGGCGGACGGGUGAGUAACACGUGGAUAACCUACCUAUAAGACUGGGAUAACUUCGGGAAACCGGAGCUAAUACCGGAUAACAUGUUGAACCGCAUGGUUCAACAGUGAAAGACGGUCUUGCUGUCUCUUAUAGAUGGAUCCGCGUCGCAUUAGCUAGUUGGUAAGGUAACGGCUUACCAAGGCAACGAUGCGUAGCCGACCUGAGAGGGUGAUCGGCCACACUGGAACUGAGACACGGUCCAGACUCCUACGGGAGGCAGCAGUAGGGAAUCUUCCGCAAUGGGCGAAAGCCUGACGGAGCAACGCCGCGUGAGUGAAGAAGGUCUUCGGAUCGUAAAACUCUGUUAUUAGGGAAGAACAAAUGUGUAAGUAACUAUGCACGUCUUGACGGUACCUAAUCAGAAAGCCACGGCUAACUACGUG